UACGGAGGAUGCAAGCGUUAUCCGGAUUUAUUGGGUUUAAAGGGUGCGUAGGCGGAAAUUUAAGUCAGUGGUGAAAUCCUACAGCUCAACUGUAGAACUGCCAUUGAUACUGAUUUUCUUGAGUAUAGUUGAGGUGGGCGGAAUGUGUAAUGUAGCGGUGAAAUGCUUAGAGAUUACACAGAACACCGAUUGCGUAGGCAGCUCACUAAACUAUUACUGACGCUCAGGCACGAAAGCGUGGGGAGCGAACAGGAUUAGAUACCCUCGUA
rnacentral:rRNA from 1 species